rnacentral:rRNA from 1 species
AAAUUGAAGAGUUUGAUCAUGGCUCAGAUUGAACGCUGGCGGCAGGCCUAACACAUGCAAGUCGAACGGUAACAGGAAGAAGCUUGCUUCUUUGCUGACGAGUGGCGGACGGGUGAGUAAUGUCUGGGAAACUGCCUGAUGGAGGGGGAUAACUACUGGAAACGGUAGCUAAUACCGCAUAACGUCGCAAGACCAAAGA